UCGCUGUGCACUUCACCUCCCCAGUCUCCGAGUCCUCAUCUGAGCACCGGAGGAAUUGUACCCACCUCUGCUAGUCAGACGAGCACGUGCUCACCAAUGACCUUGCAGGGCACCUGGCGCAGAGUAAGCCGCUGAUACGUGCCAGCUUUAGUGUCACGCUGCUGGUCUCCUGAUUUGUAUCUCAGGAAGAAAUCGUCUGACUAGCAUCCCACCCACCACGUCGAAGAGAAGGCGGCCUAGUAGGGGACAGCGGAGAAGACAUAAAACUGAGACCCAUAUACAAGAUCAUGGAGCUGGUGAGAUGAAAAUGUGGGACUUGAAGCCUGUCUUCUGAAUUCCAGCCCAGCCCUCUUCCCACGGGGCUCAUGGGGGCUCAGGCCUGGGACAGCAUCUUUGGACGGUGAUAAUGGGUCGGUUGCCAGGUAGCAAGUUCUGACUCCAUUCCGUUUUCUCACAUCUUGAGCACAAAAAGAGUCACCAACCAUAAUGGGCUCACCACAGAAGAAGGGGUGGCCCAGCUGGCUUAAAAGGAAGACCAUGCAGUGAAAGUGACCUGCUUUCUGCCGGCACGCAGUGUGACCUUGGGCAGACUGCUUCAUCUGUCUGAGCCCUAGUUUCCCGUCUCGUCCCCCCAGCCCCUUGGUGAGGCAGGGGCUGUUAUCAUCCCAAUUUUUCACAUGACUGGAAGUUGUAAUAGAUGUUCUGAGAAGGGAAGAGAGAUCACAACAGACGAUGAGAUGCUCUUGUCUCCCUCCCCCUGCUCAGGAAUCCUCUGUGCCAUGUCUCUGACAAAGGACGUCUGGCUUCAGCUCAAGUACUUCUCCACGCCAGGGACUCUUGUCGCACUCUUGCGAGCAUUCUCACUCGGCCUGGUGCCCCGAGGUUGGCUGUCUCCCAGGGGAGUCGCCAGGUGGGAGAAGGCCUCGGGCGGCGGAAUGCAGAUGGAACGGAGUGGGCGAGCUCCAGCGCUGAAUGCUGUGGUUUGAAUGGAUACACGUCUCCAGACUUCAAGGCAAGCAUCUCUGGCCAAACCCACUGUGGAGAUCCUAAAUUGGCACCCUGUGGAGUGAGCUGUCUGAUUCUACAAAGGCAGUAUUUCUGGUUUUCAAAGGAACUGAAUAAUUUAAAAUGCACAAGACAAAAAGUGGGAUUAAAGCGAUCUGAUAGGCUCUCCAGGCUGGGGUAUCAAUUAUACACACUCAACUCGUAAAGCCUUAUUUGUGAGAUUCAGAAUUUAUUAUCUGUCUGAAGCACUAAUUACCAGGUUUUUCUCUUUUAGUCUUACAGGUCUCUUUUCAAAUUUAUUUUCUCGCUCCCUCCCGCCU